AAAACUUCUUUUGCAUAAACGAUUAAACAAUUGGUUCGAGUUGUAUGCGAGGAUUUAAAAAUCAUUAUGUAUAAGAUUAAUGAGACAAAUCUUCAGCAAUGAAUUAGCCAUGGAAUACAGCUAGUAUGGAGCGAAAAAGAAAAAUAUCUUCAGCAACUUACAAUUGUGUAAAGUAAUUAUAUGUGUGAUAAGAAAGUCGCAUACAACCGCAACAGAUGAACAAAUUUCUGCUCCCAUCAAGAUCUGGCUGGCUCAUGCAAAGGAACGUGCAAAAAAACAAAAAAUAAUUGAGUUAUUUUAGAUUUUACAUAUAUAUAUA